rnacentral:rRNA from 1 species
AGAGUUUGAUCAUGGCUCAGGAUGAACGCUAGCUACAGGCUUAACACAUGCAAGUCGAGGGGCAGCAUGUCGGUUGCUUGCAACCGACGAUGGCGACCGGCGCACGGGUGAGUAACGCGUAUCCAACCUACCCUUGUCCAUCGGAUAACCCGUCGAAAGGCGGCCUAACACGAUAUGCGGUUCACAGCAGGCAUCUAAGGUGAACGAAAUGUAAAGGAGAAGGAUGGGGAUGCGUCUGAUUAGCUUGUUGGCGGGGUAACGGCCCACCAAGGCUACGAUCAGUAGGGGUUCUGAGAGGAAGGUCCCCCACAUUGGAACUGAGACACGGUCCAAACUCCUACGGGAGGCAGCAGUGAGGAAUAUUGGUCAAUGGACGGGAGUCUGAACCAGCCAAGUAGCGUGCAGGAUGACGGCCCUAUGGGUUGUAAACUGCUUUUAUAGGGGGAUAAAGUGUGCCACGUGUGGCAUAUUGCAGGUACCCUAUGAAUAAGGACCGGCUAAUUCCGUGCCAGCAGCCGCGGUAAUACGGAAGGUCCGGGCGUUAUCCGGAUUUAUUGGGUUUAAAGGGAGCGUAGGCCGUCUUAUAAGCGUGUUGUGAAAUGUCGGGGCUCAACCUGGGCAUUGCAGCGCGAACUGUGAGACUUGAGUGCGCAGGAAGUAGGCGGAAUUCGUCGUGUAGCGGUGAAAUGCUUAGAUAUGACGAAGAACUCCGAUUGCGAAGGCAGCCUGCUGUAGCGCAACUGACGCUGAAGCUCGAAAGCGUGGGUAUCGAACAGGAUUAGAUACCCUGGUAGUCCACGCGGUAAACGAUGGAUGCUCGCUGUUUGCGUCUGACGUAAGCGGCCAAGCGAAAGCGUUAAGCAUCCCACCUGGGGAGUACGCCGGCAACGGUGAAACUCAAAGGAAUUGACGGGGGCCCGCACAAGCGGAGGAACAUGUGGUUUAAUUCGAUGAUACGCGAGGAACCUUACCCGGGCUUGAACUGCAGGCGAACGAUUCAGAGAUGAUGAGGCCCUUCGGGGCGCCUGUGGAGGUGCUGCAUGGUUGUCGUCAGCUCGUGCCGUGAGGUGUCGGCUUAAGUGCCAUAACGAGCGCAACCCUUGUUCGUAGUUGCCAUCGGGUUAUGCCGGGCACUCUGCGAAGACUGCCUCCGUAAGGAGUGAGGAAGGUGGGGAUGACGUCAAAUCAGCACGGCCCUUACGUCCGGGGCUACACAC